GGGGAGCAUACAGCGGAUGGAUGUUAACCUGAUACAUUCUUCCAACAUGGAAUAUGUGAUUUCCUGCUUGUGGUUCUUGAAAGAUGACCCACGAGCCUCAAAUUACAUUACAUUUUC